UACAGAGGUGUCAAACGUUGUCCGGAAUUACUGGGCGUAAAGGGCGCGUAGGCGGCCUUAUAAGUCAUUUGUGAAAGCUCUGGGCUCAACCCAGGAAUUGCAAGUGAUACUGUAAGGCUUGAGUUCGGUAGAGGAGGGCGGAAUUCCAGGUGUAGCGGUGAAAUGCGUAGAUAUCUGGAGGAACACCCGUGGCGAAGGCGGCUCUCUGGUCCGAAACUGACGCUGAGAUGCGAAAGCUAGGGUAGCAAACAGG
rnacentral:rRNA from 1 species